GAUGAACGCUGGCGGCGUGCCUAAUACAUGCAAGUCGAGCGAACAGAUAAGGAGCUUGCUCCUUUGAAGUUAGCGGCGGACGGGUGAGUAACACGUGGGUAACCUACCUAUAAGACUGGGAUAACUUCGGGAAACCGGAGCUAAUACCGGAUAACAUUUAGAACCGCAUGGUUCUAAAGUGAAAGAUGGUUUUGCUAUCACUUAUAGAUGGACCCGCGCCGUAUUAGCUAGUUGGUAAGGUAACGGCUUACCAAGGCGACGAUACGUAGCCGACCUGAGAGGGUGAUCGGCCACACUGGAACUGAGACACGGUCCAGACUCCCACGGGAGGCAGCAGUAGGGAAUCUUCCGCAAUGGGCGAAAGCCUGACGGAGCAACGCCGCGUGAGUGAUGAAGGGUUUCGGCUCGUAAAACUCUGUUAUUAGGGAAGAACAAAUGUGUAAGUAACUGUGCACAUCUUGACGGUACCUAAUCAGAAAGCCACGGCUAACUACGUG
rnacentral:rRNA from 1 species